UUUAAAAGAGCCAAAAACAAACACAUUUUCAUCAUUCAUAAGCUCGUUGAGAAGUAAAUUUAGAAUUAUCUUCAUCUCUUAAAAUUUCUCUAUCACAUUUCUUUCUUCUAUAAUCACUUUGUAAACUAUAAAGAAAGUAGGGUUCUUUUCACAAAUAAAACAAAGCACCAAACUUCAACUAUCCCAGUUUUUUCUUCACAUAAAUCUGAGUAGUAUAGGAUUUUGUGUCAUCUGAGUUUCUUUCAGCGUUGCUUUUCCCUUGCAUAACCAUCUUUGACUCUCUAAAAUAAACAUCCUACUAAUUAUAAACCUCUUGCAGCUUGAAACCCUUUACUCCUUCUGUGAAACCAACAAACAUACACUUAGCAGCUCUAGCCUUUAGUUUUCGUUGCUUUUGAUUGACAUACCCUACACAUCCAAACACCUUAAGGUCAUUUAGAUUGGGGGUGUUUGGACCAUUUCUCUUUUUGUUUUAUAGAAUCAAAGAGAAAAGAAUAAGAAAAUGAGAGAGAGGGAGACCGAGAAGCAGAAGAGGAGAUUUCUCACCUCACCGUCGGUUCCAUUCGCUCACCAUCGUUUCGUCAUCGUGUUCCGCCACUCACUGUUGUAUAUCGGGCCAAACAGAGAGGCCUUGGCCGUCAAAGACACCGGAGCCGGUGAGGAUGAAACCAGUAAUAUCUUCAAUGGAGAACCAUUCUGGAGAUGAAUAUGCACUAAUAUCGGUGGUGGCCUUUACAGUUCCUCGAUUUUCGAGGGUGAUCGGAAAGCUUUUGCACGGACCGGCGAAAGUCACCGGACCCACCAGAAAUGUGCGUUGUGGGAUUAAGAACUUUGCCGGACCGACUGUGUUCCGACAAGCUGCAAUCCACGUUGUCAUGAAUGCCUGCCAAAUGGAAAAUAAAAACAAAUUGUAACUCUUUUUGCCAAAAAAAUGUUGAAAUAAUUGUACCAUCCAUUUCCACCCAAAUAGAAUACAAGAAAAAUUGAUAUCGGUUUCGAAUAAUA